rnacentral:rRNA from 1 species
UACGUAGGGGGCAAGCGUUGUCCGGAUUUAUUGGGCGUAAAGAGCUCGUAGGCGGCUUGUCACGUCGGGUGUGAAAGCCCGGGGCUUAACCCCGGGUCUGCAUUCGAUACGGGCUAGCUAGAGUGCGGUAGGGGUGACUGGAAUUCCUGGUGUAGCGGUGAAAUGCGCAGAUAUCUGGAGGAACACCGGUGGCGAAGGCGGCAUCCUGGACCGAUACUGACGCUGAGGAGCGAAAGCCAGGGGAGCAAACGGG